UACAGAGGGUGCGAGCGUUAAUCGGAAUUACUGGGCGUAAAGGGCGCGUAGGCGGUUGAUUAAGCUGUGUGUGAAAGAAUUGGGCUUAACCUAAUAAAGCAGACAGAACUGAUUAACUAGAGUGAAGUAGAGGUGAUAGGAAUUUCCGGAGUAGCGGUGAAAUGCGUAGAUACCGGAAAGAACACCAGAGGCGAAGGCGAGUCACUGGACUUUAACUGACGCUGAGGCGCGAAAGCGUGGGGAGCAAACAGG
rnacentral:rRNA from 1 species